ACUCCUACGGGAGGCAGCAGGCGCGCAAAUUACCCAAUCCUGACACGGGGAGGUAGUGACAAUAAAUAACAAUACCGGGCGCGUUAGUGUCUGGUAAUUGGAAUGAGUACAAUCUAAAUCCCUUUAACGAGGAUCCAAUUGGAGGGCAAGUCUGGUGCCAGCAGCCGCGGUAAU
rnacentral:rRNA from 1 species